ACCCGCACACUGGGCCAUCAUGAGAUGGAGAUGUCCAGGAAGGAGCUGGAAGCUCAAGAGAGGCUUUUGGAAAACAACUUGAAGAUUUCCCUUUUGGUGGAAAUCAACGAAGUUCUCCAACAACGCCAAGAGGUUGUUCAGAGACACAACCUUUUGCUGAAGAAUAUAAGCGAUUUACAAAACCAGGUACAGGACACAACCAAGUGGAUAGAGAGUCUUUGGGACGCAAAAGUGUCUGAGGCCAAGCAGCAGGGAGCUAAGCUAGAGGCAGAUGUCUCAGCAUUGAGGUUGCAGAUCACAGCUCUACAGAAGGCUUCUGGAGGAUCCCAACCUGUCAAGUUGUCUGACCUCUCGCCUCAGGAUGGCCCUAAGAGUGCUGGCAAGGAGCUUCCUUCUAGAAAAGCCAACUACAAGAUAACAGCCACUCGAUUACAGAGUGACAUCAAAUCAUUACGUCACAGGAUCAAUGGCACCAAACUGAGAUUGCUCAAUGAAAUCAAGAACAAGCAGCAGGCAGAGGCCGAAGUGAGGCAGUUGAGAAGCAACAUAUCUUCGAGUAAACACAACAGCAAAGCAACAACUCCUCUGCCAGGGUACAGUGACAGUCCAUGCCCAGAGCCUCCCAUCCUCUAGUAAAUACCUGCCUGCUCGACAAGUGUAGUUGUAGCGAAUUUGAAUGAGUGGAAAAUGCCUGUCCUCUGCUAUUUUGGCGAUUCUGCAAAGAUACGACCUACCAUCACAGCUGGUCGUAGACUGGUCCAGUAACUUCCGUCUUCGUUCCUCUUAGUCUUA